GGAAGAAAUACUUCCAGUGUGCUUCAGUGGAGGGAAAUUCUUGCAGAGAUUGAGCUGUCUGGUCCCAUUGUGGAGUGGCUGGCGGAGGCCCCGCAGCGGGAUUGACGCUGCAGUAAUUACCAGGCCCAUGGGCCCUCCGACCCUGCUCCACCACAAGACGUGCUGGCAGUGGAUCUGAGGAUUGCUGGCAUUAUCUCAGCACCAAAGACCCGAAGGCAAGUUGUCACCUGAACUGCAGAGUCUCCGGUAUUGAAAGUAGCUCGGGAUGAGUGAAGCUGGCUGCAUUCCUCCCUGCCAGACUGCAGGCAGAGCAGAGCCUGGCAGCCACCAGCAUUAAGAAAGCUUUGUAGCCAGAAGGAGAAAAGAAAUGAAGAGCAAUGCACUAGGAACAGAACAAGCAAUACAUAUUUUGCGCAUAGGAGCCAGGGUUUUGGUUCAUAAAGUCUCACCCCCCUGCAUGGCAUGAUCUGACAGAGGUCAUGGGGUGCUCUAUCUGUGAUAACGUGACAACCUUGAGAAGACUUAGAUAUGCUUCUUUCAGAAUAUUCCACCGACCUUAUUUUUGCUGAGGAAGCAUGAAUUUGCUCUUGCUUAGGGUAUUUUCUUGGUACAGAUCUGCAUAGUUUCUUCACUUCUCCUUCCCUCAUCACCAGCAUUUCAUCACGUACAGUGCAUUUACAGAGUGAGAAGGCUGGCCUAGUGACAUACAGAAUUAAGCCUGACAAUGGCAGAGCAGUAGUUCUCUGAGCUGCAUUUGAAGAGUGACUGGGCAGAUUUUCGUAUGGCAAAUUUUUACACCAUACCUGUUCAUUUGUACGCCUCCCAUCUUUUAAAGGAACAUAACAACUUCUUUGCAAAUGCAGUGACUCUUUAAGAAUUUCUCUACAGAAGAGUACUCUCAUUUUUCAGUCAAUUAAUUGCAGAUUAUUUAUUACAUACAGAAAAAUAAUUAUCCCCAAAGAUAAUUAAAUGUUUCAAGACUAAGGAGCAAAGCAAAUGUAGGUUGAAAGUCAUUAUGUACUGAUACAAAAGACUUUUUGUCAGUAAUUUAAUCAUGCAGAUAUCCAAAAUAAAUUCUACAGAUCCUAUCCUCAUUGUCUACAGAGAAUUCUAUCUGCAUAAAUAACCUCGUUGGACUAUCGUACUCUUGGCAUUUUGGUAAGGAACAGUUUUGAGUAGAUCUAUAUUAAGGCCAUAUUUUGAUCCAAGACACAAGCAUGGAAUUGUCUCACUCCCCCCUCUCUGAUGUGGAGCACUACCUGGAGAAAAGGAACAGCGCUGACUUUGAAUAAUCCAGCCUGGAGUGGGGCCAGGGCUUGGGCUCCUCCUUGCCAGCUGCAGGGCCCCAGUGCAGCAAGAGCUUCCAAAGGCUAUGUUGCCUCCACAAGUGCCAGAAUGGAUCAACACACUGACUUCAGCCAGAAGUGGACUCAAAGUAGCUGUUGUUCCUUCUCCCUAAGGAGCAUUUUCAGAGGAAUGCCUUAGAGGUAAGAACUAAGGUUCCCAAAAAGGCUAACCUCACGUCAGGAAGGACUGAAGCAUACUCAUUUGCUAAAUGCUCCAUAAAGGGUGACAUUCUUCAGUUACUUUUUGGAUAAAUCCCACUCUGCUUCUGAGAGAAUAUUUAUAGAGAACAUCUCCUGAGCAUCCUGCAAGUGACUGACACAGAUACACAUGGAUUUUGUUUAUUCUCGUCUGCCUUGGUUUAAAAUUUUAUACAUGUCCCCUAGGCACGACUUUGAUGCUGAUUUUUCUAGGGAAAAAAAAUGAAUACGUAAACAAAGAAGUCAUACAUAAAUAAAAUAGUAAAGCAUAAAUCAAAGUCAGCUCCAUUUUUUUUUCUUAAAUGCCAAAUACUUUAAGAAGCAAGAUUCUGUUUCAAUGGCUGCCUUGCCUUAGUUCUUGUCUACUUCAAUUAUGGGGGCUUUUCUUUCUGCAUCAUGACCUUCUGAGGAAUUUAGUUACAUUCUAAAAUUUUAUAACUGCAAAGACAGAAAGCUAAGACCUGUGAAACAGUUUCAUAGCAUCAGCGUUUCGUCUUUUCCCUAUGUGAAAUUUAAAAUGAGAGAGAGGCCAUUGUCUAUCUAAUGAGAUGGUCUUGUGUCCUUUGUCACCUACUAGCAUGACAAAUCCCGUUACCCAGCUUUUCCUGAGACAUUCUCAGCUAGAUCCCAGGUGGGAAGUCUCUUGCAGACUUUUGUAAUGGCCAUGUAUGUAUUUUGCCUCCCUUACUCAACUCUUUGCACUAGAUGGGUGGUAUUGGCUUCAUAGAGUUCUUGUCAAAGAGCAGCCAAAAGUACUUCCACUGUGGAAGUCCAAUCCCUGAAAUGCUGUUGAGAGCAUUGACCCCCAUAUGGAUCUCCUCAGCAAGUGCUGUAUAUGCCAGCAAGGUCUAUCUUAAUACUCAGUUUCUCCAGGAAUCCAAAAUGUGUUACUUCUGUACAGGAUUCGCGUGUUUGGUCAGUUGUUGCCCUAUCCUUUCCCCUCAAUUUGUAGCAACCAUAAAUUGUCUUUGGCUGGCUCCUGAAGUGGCAUUGCUUGCUUGUUGGCUUUCAGAUGCCAGAUUUCUGUGAAAUAAUUGGGCUCAGUAAAGAUGAGAUAUAAAAAGAUAAAAAUCAGCCCCAAUGGUCCAUUCUGUCACUUUCUUUUUUAAUUCAGACUCUGCCUAUGAAGCCCAAGCAACCCAAGCUAGGCUCAGCUGUGUUGAAACCAUGUUUGUCCCAGGUGUGUCAAAUUGGUUCAGAAAGUAAGCCAUAAUCUGGGAUUACAUGUAGCUAGGAUAUUAUUUUCUGCUUUUAAAGAAUUUCUUCUUUUUUUUUCUGCCUGUAUUGAUUAUUUCCUGUGUUUGGUUUCAGCUAUUCGGUAGCUAGCAUGAGACCUCAGACUGAGGAAACAUCACAAUGCACAGACUCAGCUGAAUAGCUCCCUGCCCACACAUCUUUCUAUGUAGUACUUCAAAAUAUGCAUUUCCUGCACAUGCUAUAAUUAGGCUUUUUCAUUCUCCCUCCAGUUGUUAUUAAAAUACUCAUUAUCUACUACAAAACACUUUUAUUAUGCUAUUUUUUAUAUCCCUCUUGUUACUUCAGGAAGCAAAUAAAGACAUUUUAGUGGAUGUAGUUCUAACAGGGGAAAUUCCAGCAUUGCUUCACCAUGGCAAUGGGGUGCAAUCAUCAAUGAAGCAACAACUUCACUGUGGAUCACUGCAACUGCUAAAAGAUCUGAAGCUGGCUUGCAGCCACAGAUGACAGUCUGCACCUCUUUGAGCUGUGUAGGCAAAUGCUGAACUUGAGUCCAGUUCAGAAGAUCUUGAAAGGAUUAAUACCGGCCCUUGGACCUCAAGCAGGAGACAAGAGGUGAAGAAGUGAAGAGGCAGAAGAUUCUUUGACUGUCAGUAGUUUGUGAAUUGAGUAAAAAUUCCACAAAAUGUGGCUUGUCCAGAGCAGGAUAUUUGCUACUAUCUCUGAAUGAUGUCUUACUCUCAGAGAAGACACUGGAUUCUCAGUCCAAAGUUCAUCCCUUUCAAUCAAGCAAAAGAUAAUAAAAAGAAAGAAAAACCUUUCAGAUGUAAUCUUUGACUCCUAACAGAGGGAGCUGGGAAAGGGCUUUGGGUUGAUUUCUAAUUCCAUACACUGCUUGUCUGAGUUGACACUUCCAUCUUCACACCUGAAGAAACAAAAGAAAAGAUGCAACGCCACUGUUUGCAGCUGACCUCUAGCCAACUGCUGGAGUUGCAUUCAGUACCCAAGCAGCAUGUUCCAGCCACAGCUGCAAAUGUUCUAGAAGGUUUGGAAAUUGUUUCUGAUUUAAUUCAUUCAAAGUGCUUCUGAAGGGAAAAGAUCUGUCAGAGAUGCUAGACCUCUCAGAAGAAUUUCCAAGGCAACAUGUUCAUGCUCAUGGAUAUCUCUGAUUAAAAUAUGUCCCUUCUUUGGUGUUAAUCUGAUCUAGAAGGUGCAAAUUAGGCUGUGAGAAGACUGAAAGGAAUAUGUUCUGGAUUUAUUUGUACAGAAGUAUACAAAUUUUGAGUAUGAACUCAAGGCACUAAAAAGACCUUACCAUAAUCAGAGCUCGUGACUGAGGAUGAAGAUCUGAAUAUCAUUGCAACUUUAGAUACUAUCAAAGGAGAGAAAAAGAGCUGAAACUCUGGGAAGAAAAAUUUGGAAGGUUCCUCAGAGUGGCUGUCUCAAAAGUAACUUCCUUUCUACGUCUAUAAUCUGGCACCUAUAAACAGAAGAUGGGAAAAGGCACAAGCCAUUAUGAAAAUCUUGCUUCCAGUACAAUGGGCAUUUUUUUCUCAGUUAGAAGCCCUGAAGGAGCUACCAAAUUGAAAACAGAGCUAUUGUCAGACAAGAGUACUUCCUGCUCUAUUAGAUACAUGGCUGCAGAUGUCUGUGAGCAACUUUUUCAAAACUGAGGAAAUCUGACAGCUUCACAAAUCAGACUAUUUUCUUAAUGUGCUGCAGCUUUUAGUGUUUCUGAGGUAUGCUGCUGGUGCUCUCAGUGAAUUACGCUUACUCUCUACAAUUACUCCCAGGACUCGUGCAGUAUCAGCAGAUUUUAUUUUUAGGGGAAAAUUAAAGGAAAGCAAGAUCCUUACAUCUAUAUUUUAUAUAUAAGCUUGUAUUUCAUGCCUAAUAUCCAUACCGUGACACAUGCAUUUUGUCUGCAUAUGAGAAUAAAGCAGACAUGCAUUUAUAUAUGUAUGUGUGUAUGUAUCCACAGACAUAUUUGCAUACCUACUCAUCUGUGAAUAUGGAAAUACCUUCAGAAAAUACCUUACAAUAAGCAACUGGGAAUUGGGCUAGAGUUACCUUCAGUGAACAUUACCAUUGCAUUUACAAGAGAGGCACAGUGCCUGCAUAACACUGUAAAG
ensembl:lncRNA